CCUACGGGAGGCAGCAGUAGGGAAUCUUCCACAAUGGGCGAAAGCCUGAUGGAGCAACGCCGCGUGAGUGAUGAAGGCCUUCGGGUUGUAAAACUCUGUCAUUCGGGACGAACCGGAGUCUGAGGAAAUGCAGACUCUCUGACGGUACCGGAGGAGGAAGCCCCGGCUAACUACGUGCCAGCAGCCGCGGUAAUACGUAGGGGGCAAGCGUUGUCCGGAUUCACUGGGCGUAAAGCGCGCGCAGGCGGUGAUGUAAGUCUGAGGUGAAAACCCGAAGCUCAACUUCGGGACUGCCUUGGAUACUGCGUCACUUGAGGAUAGGAGAGGCAAGGGGAAUUCCACGUGUAGCGGUGAAAUGCGUAGAGAUGUGGAGGAACACCUGUGGCGAAGGCGCCUUGCUGGCCUAUUUCUGACGCUGAGGCGCGAAAGCGUGGGGAGCAAACAGGAUUAGAUACCCUGGUAGUCCACGCUGUAAACGAUGAGUGCUAGGUGUAGGUGGGCUCAUACCCAUCUGUGCCGAAGCUAACGCAUUAAGCACUCCGCCCUGGGGGAGGUACGGUCGCGAGACGACGAACGUUAAAGUAAGUAGUAGACGNGAGAGAGCGACGGACGACGACGACGGAGGGAGGAG
rnacentral:rRNA from 1 species